AUCUUCCGCAAUGGACGAAAGUCUGACGGAGCAACGCCGCGUGAGUGAUGAAGGUUCUCGGUUCGUAAAGCUCUGUUGUUAGGGAAGAACAAGUACCGUUCGAAUAGGGCGGUACCUUGACGGUAUCUAACCAGAAUGCCACGGCUAACUACGUGCCAGCAGCCGCGGUAAUACGUAGGGGGCAAGCGUUGUCCGGAAUUAUUGGGCGUAAAGCGCGCGAAGGCGGCUUCUUAAGUCAGGUGUGAAAGCCCCCGGCUCAACCGGGGAGGGUCAUUGGAAACUGGGGAACUUGAGUGCAGAAGAGGAGAGUGGAAUUCCACGUGUAGCGGUGAAAUGCGUAGAGAUGUGGAGGAACACCAGUGGCGAAGGCGACUCUCUGGUCUGUAACUGACGCUGAGGCGCGAAAGCGUGGGGAGCGAACAGG
rnacentral:rRNA from 1 species